AAUGAUCCUCCUGCCUCAGCCUCUGGAGUGCUGGGAUUAUAGCUCUUCAUCCUGCGGUGCUGAGCAGCUUCCCGCCCCGCGCCUGGCUCACUUUUCCCGUCUUGAGACACACACCGAAAUCACUGCAGACAUUUGACUGCUUCAUGCAGCAGAGGAAGGAACACUGUGGGUCAUCCUAACAGCCAAGCCCAUAAACAAGCCCCACUGAAAAAGCAAACAAAUGGAAAAGAAGUGCCUUCGCGGAGGUACCUGCCAACAGGACUUGUGCCUUUGCCACCAGGGAUGACGCGCCUGCGAAAGCCUCCAUCCCUCAUUAAAUCAAUAAAAUCAAGUGUCUUUUA